rnacentral:piRNA from 1 species
UACUAGUGCCACUCAUAUACAAACCAAA